UCCAAUGAUAUAGUGCCACGU
rnacentral:siRNA from 1 species